GACGAACGCUGGCGGCGUGCCUAAUACAUGCAAGUAGAACGCACAGUUUAUACCGUAGCUUGCUACACCAUAGACUGUGAGUUGCGAACGGGUGAGUAACGCGUAGGUAACCUGCCUGGUAGCGGGGGAUAACUAUUGGAAACGAUAGCUAAUACCGCAUAAUAUUCAUUAUUGCAUGAUAAUUAAUUGAAAGGUGCAAUUGCACCACUACCAGAUGGACCUGCGUUGUAUUAGCUAGUAGGUGAGGUAACGGCUCACCUAGGCGACGAUACAUAGCCGACCUGAGAGGGGGAUCGGCCACACUGGGACUGAGACACGGCCCAGACUCCUACGGGAGGCAGCAGUAGGGAAUCUUCGGCAAUGGACGAAAGGCUGAACGAGCAACGCCGCGUGAGUGAAGAAGGUUUUCGGAUCGUAAAGCUCUGUUGUAAGAGAAGAACGGGUGUGAGAGUGGAAAGUUCACACUGUGACGGUAUCUUACCAGAAAGGGACGGCUAACUACGUG
rnacentral:rRNA from 1 species